AGCCCUGUGGUGUAAGCACGUUGGAUUGCAAAUCCAAAGAUGCAGACUAAUACUCUGCCGGGGCUU
rnacentral:tRNA from 1 species